rnacentral:lncRNA from 1 species
UUCCAAUUACACAACCCUUAUAAUUCUCCCUCUCUCUCUCCCCUGCCGUCGUCUCUCUUCUUCUCUCUCUCGCCGUUGUCUCUCUUCCGUUCAAGAACCUAAAAGUAAGGCACUUUGGUGAUUUUCAAGGUAGCUGAAGGCUAUAUAAAGGGAAAAAAUUUGGUUAAGAGAAAACCAGUCUUUAUACAGCAACAUAGUACUCUUCUAUGGAAGAAAACACAAUACAAAGCAUGAGUUUAAAUCAAAUUCAAGAUUGAAGGAGGAUUUCUUAAGGUAAAAUUUAUUUUUCUUCAAUGCAAGAAGUAAAUCAAAAAUUCGAUUUUUCUUUGAUUAUAUCAUUUACUAAUUUCGUUUUUAAGGUGAAUGAUGAAAGGUAGUAAUAUACUUUUUGCUAUUUGUUGGUAUUUAAUUGAAUUUUUUCAGACUAAAUGCCUUAAUUAAGGAAUAAUUUUAAUUUACAUUCAAAUAAUAAGUUGACUUAAUUAUGUUGAAUUGAUUAUACUGGAGAGAGGUUAUCAAUUAAGUAAAGGGAUUCAGUCAAAUACACAGAGUCAAUUGUUGUUAGAAAUUGAUUGUUAGAAUUGCAGGAAUAAUAUGAUGAAUUUGACAAACUCAUAAUCCUUUAAUUUUACCCUACAAAGCAAAAACCAAUUUCUGUAUUAGACUAUUUGAGAAUUAAGAUUUUGGUUAUAGUUCUACCCUGUUCUUGUUUACUUAUAGCAUAUUAUAGAUUGCUGUUUCUCAGUUUCGGAAUAUAUCCACUUAUGUAGAAGUCAAAAUUACUGGUAGCUGGUGUUGUUCUUGGGUAUGUUUGGGUAAUUAAAGUUGCCAUAUUCAUUAAAAUGAUUGUUUUUGUUUCUGUUUUUCUUUUUUUUUUUUUCAGUCCAUUAUGAGCCUGCCUUAGACUUUUGGUAUGCAAAUGAAAACACCAAACGCUCACUUAUAGAAUUUGCUAUCUAUUGUGGAGUGUCAAAUAGAAAAUUACAACCUUUCCAUAUUGAUAAUAUCCUGUUAUAGCAGUGUUUUAAUAUUGUGGAUAUUUGAUUAAGCAUGUAAAUGUUGCUAUUACAGGUAUGGAUCUUGAUGAACAAUGUGCAUACCACUUUGAGUUAAUUGUGGAUCUUGAUGAACAAUGUGCAUUUAUUGAGGUUUUUCUAAAUAUCUUUAUUGGCUAUCAUUUAUUUCAACAUUUUGGAAAAAAUGAAGUAAUGCAGUCUUUUUCAUUCUCCA